AUUGAACGCUGGCGGCAUGCUUUACACAUGCAAGUCGAACGGUAACAGGCCUUCGGGUGCUGACGAGUGGCGAACGGGUGAGUAAUGCAUCGGAACGUACCCAGAGGUGGGGGAUAACGCAGCGAAAGCUGUGCUAAUACUGCAUGUGAUCUGAGGAUGAAAGCGGGGGACCGAGCAGCAAUGUUUGGCCUCGCGCCUUUGGAGCGGCCGAUGUCGGAUUAGCUAGUUGGUGGGGUAAAGGCCUACCAAGGCGACGAUCCGUAGCUGGUCUGAGAGGACGACCAGCCACACUGGGACUGAGACACGGCCCAGACUCCUACGGGAGGCAGCAGUGGGGAAUUUUGGACAAUGGGCGCAAGCCUGAUCCAGCAAUACCGCGUGCGGGAAGAAGGCCUUCGGGUUGUAAACCGCUUUUGGCAGGAACGAAACGGUGUCCGCUAAUACCGGGCGCUAAUGACGGUACCUGCAGAAUAAGCACCGGCUAACUACGUG
rnacentral:rRNA from 1 species